rnacentral:rRNA from 1 species
CUGACCUCAAAUCAGGUAGGACUACCCGCUGAACUUAAGCAUAUCAAUAAGCGGAGGAAAAGAAACUAACCAAGGAUUCCCCUAGUAACUGCGAGUGAAGCGGGAAAAGCUCAAAUUUAAAAUCUGGCGGUCUUUGGCCGUCCGAGUUGUAGUCUGGAGAAGCGUCUUCCGCGUUGGACCGUGUACAAGUCUCUUGGAACAGAGCGUCAUAGAGGGUGAGAAUCCCGUCUUUGACACGGACUACCAAUGCUUUGUGAUGCGCUCUCAAAGAGUCGCGUUGUUUGGGAAUGCAGCGCAAAAUGGGAGGUGAAUUCCUUCUAAAGYUAAAUAUUGGCGAGAGACCGAUAGCGAACAAGUACCGUGAGGGAAAGAUGAAAAGCACUUUGGAAAGAGAGUUAAACAGUACGUGAAAUUGCUAAAAGGGAAACGCUUGAAGUCAGUCGCGUCGUCCGGAACUCAGCUUUGCUUCGGCUUAGUGCACUUUCCGGUUGACGGGCCAGCAUCGAUUUUGACCGCUGGAAAAGGGCUGGAGGAAUGUGGCACCUUCGGGUGUGUUAUAGCCUUCAGUCGCAUACAGCGGUUGGGAUCGAGGAAUCGCAGCGCGCC